UGCAGUCGAGCGGAACGAGUUAUCUGAACCUUCGGGGGACGAUAACGGCGUCGAGCGGCGGACGGGUGGGUAAUGCCUAGGAAAUUGCCCUGAUGUGGGGGAUAACCAUUGGAAACGAUGGCUAAUACCGCAUAACACCUUCGGGUCAAAGAGGGGGACCUUCGGGCCUCUCGCGCCAGGAUAUGCCUAGGUGGGAUUAGCUAGUUGGUGAGGUAAUGGCUCACCAAGGCGACGAUCCCUAGCUGGUCUGAGAGGAUGAUCAGCCACACUGGAACUGAGACACGGUCCAGACUCCUACGGGAGGCAGCAGUGGGGAAUAUUGCACAAUGGGCGCAAGCCUGAUGCAGCCAUGCCGCGUGUGUGAAGAAGGCCUUCGGGUUGUAAAGCACUUUCAGUCGUGAGGAAGGUAGUGUAGUUAAUAGCUGCAUUAUUUGACGUUAGCGACAGAAGAAGCACCGGCUAACUCCGUGCCAGCAGCCGCGGUAAUACGGAGGGUGCGAGCGUUAAUCGGAAUUACUGGGCGUAAAGCGCAUGCAGGUGGUUUGUUAAGUCAGAUGUGAAAGCCCGGGGCUCAACCUCGGAAUAGCAUUCGAAACUGGCAGACUAGAGUACUGUAGAGGGGGGUAGAAUUUCAGGUGUAGCGGUGAAAUGCGUAGAGAUCUGAAGGAAUACCGGUGGCGAAGGCGGCCCCCUGGACAGAUACUGACACUCAGAUGCGAAAGCGUGGGGAGCAAACAGGAUUAGAUACCCUGGUAGUCCACGCCGUAAACGAUGUCUACUUGGA
rnacentral:rRNA from 1 species